GGCCGACUGGCCUAAUGGUUAAGGCGUCAGUUUCCGGCUGGGAUUAGCUGAAGAUUCUGGGUUCGAAUCCCAGGUUGGUCG